rnacentral:rRNA from 1 species
UACGGAGGGUGCAAGCGUUAUCCGGAUUUACUGGGCUUAAAGGGUGUGUAGGCGGUCUUUUAAGUCAGUGGUGAAAUCUCCGGGCUCAACCCGGAAACUGCCAUUGAUACUAUUAGUCUUGAAUUUUGUUGAGGUAGGCGGAAUAAGUCAUGUAGCGGUGAAAUGCUUAGAUAUGACUUAGAACACCAAUUGCGAAGGCAGCUUGCUAAACAAACAUUGACGCUGAGGCACGAAAGCGUGGGGAUCAAACAGG